UGAGCUGUGGAUAGCGGAGAAAUUCCAAUCGAACUCGGAGAUAGCUGGUUCUCCUCGAAAUAGCUUUAGGGCUAGCGUCGGGUAAUUGAGUAGUGGAGGUAGAGCACUGAAUGGGCUAGGGGCUGACAACAGUUACUGAACCCUAUCAAACUCCGAAUGCCAUAUACUUGUACCCCGGCAGUCAGACUACGAAUGAUAAGAUCCGUGGUCAAAAGGGAAACAGCCCAGACCAUCAGCUAAGGUCCCAAAGUGUAAGUUAAGUGGGAAAGGAUGUGGGAUUUCUAAGACAACUAGGAUGUUGGCUUAGAAGCAGCCACUCAUUUAAAGAGUGCGUAAUAGCUCACUAGUCGAGAGAUCCUGCGCCGAAGAUGUAACGGGGCUCAAACUUACCACCGAAGCUAUGGAUGUGUACUUUGUACACGUGGUAGAGGAGCUUUCUGUACAGGUUGAAGUCAUACCGUAAGGAGUGGUGGACAGUACAGAAGUGAGAAUGCUGGCAUAAGUAGCGAAAAACAAGUGAGAAUCUUGUUGACCGAAUAUCUAAGGUUUCCUGGGGAAGGCUCGUCCUCCCAGGGUUAGUCGGGACCUAAGCCGCGGCCGAAAGGCGUAGGUGAUGGACAACUGGUUGAUAUUCCAGUACCACCAUAAUGCGUUUGACAAAUGGGAUGACGCAGGAGGAUAGGAUGUGCGCACUAUUGGAUGUGCGUCUAAGCACUUAGGGUGUUAAGUAGGCAAAUCCGCUUAACAUUAAGCCUGAGGUGUGAUGGGGAGCCUAUUUUGGCGAAGUAUCUGAUUCCACGCUGCCAAGAAAAGUCUCUAUGGAGCAAAAUG
rnacentral:rRNA from 1 species